AGCAGUGUGGCCUAGUGGUAAGGAGUAGGGCUUAUAGCCAAAAGGUUGCUGGUUCGAUUCCCUGCAGUGUCC